rnacentral:rRNA from 1 species
CUACGGGUGGCAGCAGUGGGGAAUAUUGCACAAUGGAGGAAACUCUGAUGCAGCAACGCCGCGUGGAGGAUGACACUUUUCGGAGCGUAAACUCCUUUUAUAUAGGAAGAUAAUGACGGUACUAUAUGAAUAAGCACCGGCUAACUCCGUGCCAGCAGCCGCGGUAAUACGGAGGGUGCAAGCGUUACUCGGAAUCACUGGGCGUAAAGAGCGUGUAGGCGGGUUAAUAAGUCAGAAGUGAAAUCCUAUGGCUCAACCAUAGAACUGCUUUUGAAACUGUUAACCUAGAAUAUGGGAGAGGUAGAUGGAAUUUCUGGUGUAGGGGUAAAAUCCGUAGAGAUCAGAAGGAAUACCGAUUGCGAAGGCGAUCUACUGGAACAUUAUUGACGCUGAGACGCGAAAGCGUGGGGAGCAAACAGGAUUAGAUACCCCUGUAGUC